rnacentral:rRNA from 1 species
AUUGAACGCUGGCGGCAUGCCUUACACAUGCAAGUCGAACGGCAGCACGGGAGCAAUCCUGGUGGCGAGUGGCGAACGGGUGAGUAAUGUAUCGGAACGUGCCCAGUCGUGGGGGAUAACGUAGCGAAAGCUACGCUAAUACCGCAUACGAUCUAUGGAUGAAAGCGGGGGAUCGCAAGACCUCGCGCGAUUGGAGCGGCCGAUAUCAGAUUAGGUAGUUGGUGGGGUAAAGGCUCACCAAGCCGACGAUCUGUAGCUGGUGUGAGAGGACGACCAGCCACACUGGGACGGAGACACGGCCCAGACUCCUACGGGAGGCAGCAGUGGGGAAUUUUGGACAAUGGGCGCAAGCCUGAUCCAGCAAUGCCGCGUGCAGGAUGAAGGCCUUCGGGUUGUAAACUGCUUUUGUACGGAACGAAACGGCGAGCUCUAAUACAGUUUGCUAAUGACGGUACCGUAAGAAUAAGCACCGGCUAACUACGUGCCAGCAGCCGCGGUAA